UAUAUAUAGUUUUUAUAGAUAAAACAGUAUUAAUGCUGGCUCUUAGAGGAUGUACAAGCUGAAGUUGGGACCUAGACAUUGUUUGCAUAGGCUGCGCAAUGUGAAAUAACUAAAAUAAAAUAGGAUAAUAAUAAGUAUGCUUAGUCAAUUUGUAAAGUGGUAUAAUAGAGGCAUCUGCAAUAAAAUAAGUGGGUUUCCAAGACCUGACAAGUGAGGGCAACUUAAUAUAACAUAUGUCUACAGUUUGCUGUCCCUUCCUUAUCAGAGGCCACUUGCAACACAGCAAGACAACUCUUCCGAAACCUGUAUUAAACAAAGCAC
rnacentral:lncRNA from 1 species